GACUGCCGGAUUCUAAAUGCAGGCCAAACAUAUUUGGUGUGAAAAUAAUAUUCUUCUUGAUUUUUUAUCCAUUUGAUUAGAUUGAUUGCCCUUAAACACAUUUUUCAGUAACGGCCUGCUUUAGGGAAUCAGCGAUCGAAGCUCCAGUCCACUCAAUCCAUCAAUUAGGCUUUGAUUUAUGUCAUAUAAGAGUGCUUUGGCCUGAAUCCUGUCUUACCAUCCUUGUGUGUGUGUGUCAUGCCAGAUGGUGAAAAAAAAAAUGCCUCAAAAUGGAGAUCGGCAGUCAGACAGAGAGGAAAACAAACAGCUAGACAAAGUGAUAAACAGACAAAACACACAAACAGGCAAAAAGAAAAAAAAAUAUAAAAAAGAUGAGAUAGACAAAUAUAUUUUUUUUAUUUCCACUCCACCCAUCAUCACAUUCUGCUCUCACGCAUACAGGAACAAAGGCAGAUACGAGUGAGUACGUGUUUUAGUCUAUGGACCUCUGCCAAACUUGUAACAAUAACGACUAGACAAAAAACUAGUUCUCAAGGUCUUCAUGGGAUGGAGAGCGCAGGCCAAGACAUGAUUUCCCGGAGGUGACGUAAACAAACCAUCCGGAGUCUUCGCUGGGGAAGAUGACGUAGCCACCACCACCACUGCGCUGCGCGUGCGCGGAAUUUCAGAGGUGGCGCGCAGAGGAAGGCGAGAGCUCUGGAAGCUGCUGCUGCGGCUGCUGGCGCCGUUUGGUCCACAGAACGCGUCCACACGUGCGCACGAGCCUGUGAACACGAGAUGCGCACGCAAACAAGGGCAGGAAGGUUGUGGAAACCAGCGUGUAUAUUACGUCACAGAGCGUUGGCAUGAGUCUCACACCGGAGGAUCGGCACAGCAGCUCAUGAAGGGAUGAUUGUCCCCAUCACCAACCUCUCUGGAAGACCUCGAUGGACAAGAAAAUGCCAUUACUGAAUAUCAACGUUCUGGCAUUUUAAAUAUAAAGUUUCUUGAGAGGAAUAAGGCAGCUGUGAUGAACUUCAGUGAGCGCGUUCUCAAUACUGGGACAAACGAUGACAUUCAACCACAUGGACAACAUCAGACGACAAAAAUGACAAUCAGCAACAUUUAAAGACAACAUUGUUUGUCUCGCCAUCAUCACUGGUGAAAAAUUCUCUAAGUUGUGCUGUGUUGUUCUUGCAAACGAAAUGAGCUUCGAAAGAAGAAAACAAGAGAACAACAUUCUCUCUGGACAGUCUACGGAAGAAGUUUGAUAAAGAUGACCAGGCAGACUGCACUGAGAGAUGCUCAGCAUAGUAACAAGCCUCUAGAAGUUUAGUCCGGAGGCUACACCAGGCAGCAAAGUUCUCUCUGAGGGGUUUGAACUGUUGCACCUGCCCCGACAGGUUUUUUAUUCCUUCUCACGACUUUCAAGAUGCUUGGAAGUGACAAAGUGACCGAAGGCUCCACAGUAGGGCUGGACAGGACCCGAUGGACCUGUUUGUCAGCGCUGACAGCUCUUCCUGUGUUCUUUUUUCUCCUGCUACAUACAGGCUUGGCUCACGAAGACUGUCUGGUCGCCAAGGGUGAGGAGCUUGACAAGUGUACCAAAGCUGCGGUCAACCUGACCAUAGCGGAGGACACGCUUGACGGCCUCGUCGACACCUGCAGGUGAGAAUGUGUCCUCUUCAUACACCUUUACAAUUCAAAACGACUUUUAAUGAAUUUAGUUGUAUAUGAAGAAAUGUAGUUAACUGAAGUCUUCGUGCGUGUCACCAGACUGA
rnacentral:lncRNA from 1 species